rnacentral:rRNA from 1 species
GAUGAACGCUGGCGGCGUGCCUAAUACAUGCAAGUCGAGCGAACAGACGAGGAGCUUGCUCCUCUGACGUUAGCGGCGGACGGGUGAGUAACACGUGGAUACCCUACCUAUAAGACUGGGAUAACUUCGGGAAACCGGAGCUAAUACCGGAUAAUAUAUUGAACCGCAUGGUUCAAUAGUGAAAGACGGUUUUGCUGUCACUUAUAGAUGGUUCCGCGCCGCAUUAGCUAGUUGGUAAGGUAACGGCUUACCAAGGCAACGAUGCGUAGCCGACCUGAGAGGGUGAUCGGCCACACUGGAACUGAGACACGGUCCAGACUCCUACGGGAGGCAGCAGUAGGGAAUCUUCCGCAAUGGGCGAAAGCCUGACGGAGCAACGCCGCGUGAGUGAUGAAGGUCUUCGGAUCGUAAAACUCUGUUAUUAGGGAAGAACAAAUGUGUAAGUAACUAUGCACGUCUUGACGGUACCUAAUCAGAAAGCCACGGCUAACUACGUG